rnacentral:rRNA from 1 species
AUUGAACGCUGGCGGCAUGCCUUACACAUGCAAGUCGAACGGUAACAGGUCUUCGGAUGCUGACGAGUGGCGAACGGGUGAGUAAUACAUCGGAACGUGCCCGAUCGUGGGGGAUAACGAAGCGAAAGCUUUGCUAAUACCGCAUACGAUCUACGGAUGAAAGCAGGGGACCGCAAGGCCUUGCGCGAACGGAGCGGCCGAUGGCAGAUUAGGUAGUUGGUGGGAUAAAAGCUUACCAAGCCGACGAUCUGUAGCUGGUCUGAGAGGAUGACCAGCCACACUGGGACUGAGACACGGCCCAGACUCCUACGGGAGGCAGCAGUGGGGAAUUUUGGACAAUGGGCGAAAGCCUGAUCCAGCCAUGCCGCGUGCAGGAUGAAGGCCUUCGGGUUGUAAACUGCUUUUGUACGGAACGAAAAGACUCUGGUUAAUACCUGGGGUCCAUGACGGUACCGUAAGAAUAAGCACCGGCUAACUACGUG